rnacentral:rRNA from 1 species
UACGGAGGGUGCAAGCGUUAUCCGGAUUCACUGGGCUUAAAGGGCGCGUAGGCGGGCAGGUAAGUCAGUGGUGAAAUCUCCGGGCUUAACCCGGAAACUGCCGUUGAUACUAUCUGUCUUGAAUAUAGUGGAGGUGAGCGGAAUAUGUCAUGUAGCGGUGAAAUGCUUAGAUAUGACAUAGAACAUCGAUUGCGAAGGCAGAUCGCUGGGCUAUCAUUGACACUGAGGCACGAAAGCGUGGGGAUCAAACAGG